AUUUAUGGCCAUACCACCCUGAACACGCCCGAUCUCGUCUGAUCACAGAAGCUAAGCAGGGUUGGGCCUGGUUAGUACUUGGAUGGGAGACUUUAGAAUGAAUAUCUAUUGUUUUUAUAA
rnacentral:rRNA from 1 species